AGGAAUAUUGGUCAAUGGGCGCAGGCCUGAACCAGCCAAGUAGCGUGAAGGAUGACUGCCCUAUGGGUUGUAAACUUCUUUUAUAAAGGAAUAAAGUCGGGUAUGUAUACCCGUUUGCAUGUACUUUAUGAAUAAGGAUCGGCUAACUCCGUGCCAGCAGCCGCGGUAAUACGGAGGAUCCGAGCGUUAUCCGGAUUUAUUGGGUUUAAAGGGAGCGUAGAUGGAUGUUUAAGUCAGUUGUGAAAGUUUGCGGCUCAACCGUAAAAUUGCAGUUGAUACUGGAUAUCUUGAGUGCAGUUGAGGCAGGCGGAAUUCGUGGUGUAGCGGUGAAAUGCUUAGAUAUCACGAAGAACUCCGAUUGCGAAGGCAGCCUGCUAAGCUGCAACUGACAUUGAGGCUCGAAAGUGUGGGUAUCAAACAGGAUUAGAUACCCUGGUAGUCCACACGGUAAACGAUGAAUACUCGCUGUUUGCGAUAUACUGCAAGCGGCCAAGCGAAAGCGUUAAGUAUUCCACCUGGGGAGUACGCCGGCAACGGUGAAACUCAAAGGAAUUGACGGGGGCCCGCACAAGCGGAGGAACAUGUGGUUUAAUUCGAUGAUACGCGAGGAACCUUACCCGGGCUUAAAUUGCAGAUGAAUUACGGUGAAAGCCGUAAGCCGCAAGGCAUCUGUGAAGGUGCUGCAUGGUUGUCGUCAGCUCGUGCCGUGAGGUGUCGGCUUAAGUGCCAUAACGAGCGCAACCCUUGUUGUCAGUUACUAACAGGUUCCGCUGAGGACUCUGACAAGACUGCCAUCGUAAGAUGUGAGGAAGGUGGGGAUGACGCCAAAUCAGCACGGCCCUUACGUCCGGGGCUACACACGUGUUACAAUGGGGGGUACAGAGGGCCGCUACCACGCGAGUGGAUGCCAAUCCCCAAAACCUCUCUCAGUUCGGACUGGAGUCUGCAACCCGACUCCACGAAGCUGGAUUCGCUAGUAAUCGCGCAUCAGCCACGGCGCGGUGAAUACGUUCCCG
rnacentral:rRNA from 1 species